UUGAGCAAAGCACUGGGUACCAAGUCGGCGGGGUUGUCAACUUAUGAGAAGGAGUGCAUGGCUAUAUUGCACGCUGUCAACAAGUGGCGAUCAUAUCUGCAAUUGUUCUAGGUCAUCAUCAAAAUGGAUCAAAAAAGUCUAAUACAUUUGGAGGAGCAGUGACUCUCGACCGUAUAGCAGCACAAGACCUUCACUAAGCUGUUGGGACUUUGUUGUCGCAUCUGUUACAAGCGAGGGGAAGAGAACAGGACCGCGGACGCGCUAUCUCGUCACAACCAUGAGCCACAUGAAUAA
rnacentral:rRNA from 1 species